rnacentral:rRNA from 1 species
GCAUAACGCGAAGAACCUUACCAAGGCUUGACAUCUAAAGAAUCUAAUAGAGAUAUUGGAGUGCCCCGAAAGGGGAGCUUUAAGACAGGUGGUGCAUGGUUGUCGUCAGCUCGUGUCGUGAGAUGUUAGGUUAAGUCCUGCAACGAGCGCAACCCCUGCCUUUAGUUGCUAACAUUAAGUUGAGCACUCUAAAGGAACUGCUAAGGUUAACUUAGAGGAAGGUGGGGAUGACGUCAAAUCAUCAUGCCCCUUAUGUCUAGGGCCACACACGUGCUACAAUGGUGAGUACAACGAGAUGCGAACCCGCGAGGGGGAGCUAAACUCAAAAAGCCAUUCUCAGUUCGGAUUGGAGUCUGCAACUCGACUCCAUGAAGUCGGAAUCGCUAGUAAUUGCGAAUUAGCACGUCGCAGUGAAUGCGUUCCCGGGUCUUGUACACAC